rnacentral:snoRNA from 1 species
UUCGCACGACUGCAACCUGCUUUCGGAAUAUUACCGUCUGCGGUACUUGUAGUGCUAAAUGAACGUGGGCCCUCCGUGUGCGUGUAUAACUUAAUUGAACUAGCACUCCGUUGGUCACCGAAUAAUU